rnacentral:tRNA from 2 species
GCCGCCGUGAUGAAAUUGGUAUACAUGCAUCACUUAAAAUGAUGUGGGAGCAAUCCCGUGUCGGUUCGACUCCGACCGGCGGCACCA